AUACCCGCCAGCACAGUUCAUUGUUUACAUUGGUAGUAGAGGAGGUUGUCGCACUAUUCUAGAAUGCCUGGAAAACACUGCUGUGUAAAAAACUGCUCCAGUGUCUCACACGAUUGUCGUGGAAACCAUAGGAACCAUUUGUUACAGUUUUUUCGUUUCCCUACAUGGAAAAAGCAUUUCAUUUGAACUGAACGCCACCAUGUUUGAUCCAGAGCUGCUGAUAAUGCAGUCCCAACGAAAAAGGGUCAUGAUCGUGUGUUGGAACCGCAGGCGAAAUCAAGGAAGAAUGCGGUGUAUGAAAAUGUCCCCAAAAAACGAUGAUCAAAUACUCUAUCUGCUUGAAUUACUGGACGAUUACUCAUACCUUUUGAUUUUGUUCACAUUUAUUCUCUGAAAGAAUGUCUCUGUUUUCUUUUAUAACAUUUUGGUGUUAUUGUGAUAUAUUAAAUUUUGUUGUCUUUUUGUGGUUCCAGCUUUAAGUUUAUUGUUUACCUAACUUAAAUUAUAAAAAAUUUAA